AAGUCGUAACAAGGUUUCCGUAGGUGAACCUGCGGAAGGAUCAUUACCAAAAAAUCCAAUACCAACCCCUUUUUGUGAAUACUUUGAAUGUACUUGGGAGAGCUUGGAUCUCUCAAAGUUUUUAUUUUUCUUUAAACUUUGACUGCCUUCUCUCCCACGUUUAUUAACCUUAAAACACCUUUCAUGGGUUAACUAUAUAAUAGUAAUUUCAUACUCAAAAAAUAAAAAAAUUUAAAAGUUAAACAACUUUUAACGGUGGAUCUCUUGGCUCGU
rnacentral:misc_RNA from 1 species